CUUGCUUCCGCGCGUCGAGCGGCGGCACGGGUGAGUAAUGCAUAGGAAUCUGCCCGAUAGUGGGGGAUAACCUGGGGAAACCCAGGCUAAUACCGCAUACGUCCUACGGGAGAAAGCAGGGGAUCUUCGGACCUUGCGCUAUCGGAUGAGCCUAUGUCGGAUUAGCUAGUUGGUGAGGUAAUGGCUCACCAAGGCUGCGAUCCGUAGCUGGUCUGAGAGGAUGAUCAGCCACAUCGGGACUGAGACACGGCCCGAACUCCUACGGGAGGCAGCAGUGGGGAAUAUUGGACAAUGGGCGAAAGCCUGAUCCAGCCAUGCCGCGUGUGUGAAGAAGGCUUUCGGGUUGUAAAGCACUUUCAGUGGGGAAGAAAUCCUCGGGGCCAAUACCCUCGAGGGAGGACAUCACCCACAGAAGAAGCACCGGCUAACUCCGUGCCAGCAGCCGCGGUAAUACGGAGGGUGCGAGCGUUAAUCGGAAUUACUGGGCGUAAAGCGCGCGUAGGCGGCGUGAUAAGCCGGUUGUGAAAGCCCCGGGCUCAACCUGGGAACGGCAUCCGGAACUGUCAGGCUAGAGUGCAGGAGAGGAAGGUAGAAUUCCCGGUGUAGCGGUGAAAUGCGUAGAGAUCGGGAGGAAUACCAGUGGCGAAGGCGGCCUUCUGGACUGACACUGACGCUGAGGUGC
rnacentral:rRNA from 1 species